CGUUAGGCUCGACCGGGAUGCUUGGCGUAUCCUUUUACACCGAAACCGUCAAUAUGCGGGGGUGACAGCAGAGGACGGCGCCGCCAAACCUUCGGGCCCACCGAGUGACUAUGAGAUCCUGUCCUGCAGAGUCGGCGUCUACACCGGACGCGGCCGGAGGGUCGUGGUCAGUGCACUAAUCGCGGAGACCGGGCCAGGUCCUGACGGGAGCAGCCUCACCGCGAACCACUGACGUUUGCGGGGUAGCGGGGUUGAGAACCGAGGUGAACAACCCGAGGCAGAGGCGACGUCAACCUCUGUGGCCUAACA
rnacentral:SRP_RNA from 1 species